rnacentral:rRNA from 1 species
UACAGAGGUGGCAAGCGUUGUUCGGAAUUACUGGGCGUAAAGGGCGCGUAGGCGGCCUUCUAAGUCAGACGUGAAAUCCCCAGGCUUAACUUGGGAACUGCGUCUGAUACUGGGAGGCUUGAGUGCGGGAGAGGGAUGUGGAAUUCCAGGUGUAGCGGUGAAAUGCGUAGAUAUCAGGAGGAACACCUGCGGCGAAGGCGGGUUGCUGGGCUGACACUGACGCUGAGGCGCGAAAGCCAGGGGAGCGAACGGG